rnacentral:rRNA from 1 species
GUGAGGUAAUGGCUCACCAAGGCGACGACGGGUAGCCGGCCUGAGAGGGUGACCGGCCACACUGGGACUGAGACACGGCCCAGACUCCUACGGGAGGCAGCAGUGGGGAAUAUUGCACAAUGGGCGAAAGCCUGAUGCAGCGACGCCGCGUGAGGGAUGACGGCCUUCGGGUUGUAAACCUCUUUCAGUAGGGAAGAAGCGAAAGUGACGGUACCUGCAGAAGAAGCGCCGGCUAACUACGUGCCAGCAGCCGCGGUAAUACGUAGGGCGCAAGCGUUAUCCGGAAUUAUUGGGCGUAAAGAGCUCGUAGGCGGUUUGUCGCAUCUAUCGUGAAAGUCCGAGGCUCAACCUCGGAUCUGCGGUGGGUACGGGCAGACUAGAGUGAUGUAGGGGAGACUGGAAUUCCUGGUGUAGCGGUGAAAUGCGCAGAUAUCAGGAGGAACACCGAUGGCGAAGGCAGGUCUCUGGGCAUUAACUGACGCUGAGGAGCGAAAGCAUGGGGAGCGAACAGGAUUAGAUACCCUGGUAGUCCAUGCCGUAAACGUUGGGCACUAGGUGUGGGGGACAUUCCACGUUUUCCGCGCCGUAGCUAACGCAUUAAGUG